AUGAACGCUGGCGGCGUGCCUAAUACAUGCAAGUCGAGCGAACGGACGAGAAGCUUGCUUCUCUGAUGUUAGCGGCGGACGGGUGAGUAACACGUGGAUAACCUACCUAUAAGACUGGGAUAACUUCGGGAAACCGGAGCUAAUACCGGAUAAUAUUUUGAACCGCAUGGUUCAAAAGUGAAAGACGGUCUUGCUGUCACUUAUAGAUGGAUCCGCGCUGCAUUAGCUAGUUGGUAAGGUAACGGCUUACCAAGGCAACGAUGCAUAGCCGACCUGAGAGGGUGAUCGGCCACACUGGAACUGAGACACGGUCCAGACUCCUACGGGAGGCAGCAGUAGGGAAUCUUCAGAAAUGGGCGAAAGCCUGACGGAGCAACGCCGCGUGAGUGAUGAAGGUCUUCGGAUCGUAAAACUCUGUUAUUAGGGAAGAACAUAUGUGUAAGUAACUGUGCACAUCUUGACGGUACCUAAUCAGAAAGCCACGGCUAACUACGUG
rnacentral:rRNA from 1 species